AUUUGUAUUCCUUUUGGUUUAUCUAACUAGGUUUGUAAUUUUUAACAUAGAUAACCCCAUAAUUGCAUGCUUUGCUUGACUUACACUGAUGUGGCGGGUUUGAAGUCCCAUGUCCUCAUAUGCUACUAUUGACAUUGGGAAUGUUUGGACAAAAUGACGUUUUACCACGUAAACACUCAGGUGAAAUAUCAGGCCCCUUUUCUAACAACACCCCAAUGGCCUUUGGGAUAUUGUAUCACAGCUUGGCCUUUUUUGUGUCCUGGACCAAGGUUUUUAUUUGAUUAAUAUUUUGAUAGUAUUUGACAAGGCACAUUACUUAUCUUAAAGCUGUCUCUCUUGUUAGGUAUUAGGAGUGACUUUUCUAGCCCUGUGCCACCCAGAAAGUAAGGUGCUGUGAAAUUGGAAAGACAUUUUAUCUGAAUAUAUUGGCAUCAUGAUAUUACCAGAUUUGAGCUGUAUGACAUGUGAGAAAAAAUAAAACUUAAGAACUGCUGCACUUCUCAUUGGGCACUAAAACCUCUUCUUUGGUCUAGAUUACUCCUCUGACUUUCUGUACCUUUAAAGAUGGUUCUAAUGUCAGAUUUCUGUUUUACUUAGUAAUAUUAGUAAUUAGUAAUAUAUAGAAAUAUAUUACUUAGUGUAAUAUAUUUCUUGUCCUCCCAGUGGAAGUGCUACAUAUAUUUAGCUAUGUCACAUGUUGUAUAAAUGAUACCAGCUCUCCAUGUGUUAGAAAUGGUCUCAAUAAACGUUACCUUUAUUUUAUAUAAACUUUGUGUAGAGUCAAGGAUCAAAGCCAAAUCUUCCCUAGUUAAGAACUCUACCACAUAGCUGCAUUGCUAUCUCAGUCGGGAUUAGUCCAGACAAAUGCUGAUCUGCACUGAGAGGAUGCCUGCUGCCUGUAAAAACACAAUGAUGACAAAUGGGAGGUUGUUCUCCCAUUAGCUCAAAUGUAGAUCAAGUAACAACUACACAGUGUGAAGUUGUGGGCAUUAAGCUCCUUCCAUUAUUCUAGACUUGGAGUACAAAUCCAGGACUUAAAAUAUAGGUAUUGGAUAAAUACUUAACUGAUACUCCUGAGGUGAUAUUAGCAUCUAGUAGGUAAAGUCUUUCUGAAGCAAGACUUUUGUUCAAGAAUAUUUCUAUUUAAAAUAAGAGAAACUGUCAUUUAGUUUAGAAGAAUUAGUUCUUCUCAAAGAAAAUAUGACAACUGCACAGAGAAGUUUGUAUUAUAAUGUACAUUUAGACAUUUCUGUUUUAAAAUUUAUAAAGAAAUGGUAAUAAAUUUGCCCACAUUGUGUUAAAUACUUGCAUGUUAACCAGAGUUUUAAUAAACAAUUGGUUAAAAUUAACAUUAUAAAAAUACAGCUUUAGUAUUCAUGUUCAACUGCAAAAAUAAGUACAUUACUGUUAACACAUCCUUUCAUUUUGUAUCCAUCAUGGUAAUAACCAUCCUAUAUAAUUUUCUGUUGAGUACAUCUCUUCCCAUUACUAAAUAUCACAUCUACCAUUUAUUUAAUGUUUUCUGAUUGCUACUGAACAUCAAAUUCAAUAGUACUGUUAUUAUCUGAAUAUAUGUUUAUGUGAACUCAAAAUAUAGCAUUACAGUAAUAAUCUAAAAGGACUUUUAUCAACAAUUAUGAUAUUGUAUAUGCAGCAUUGACUGAAUUUGCUUUUACUACAUGGCAAUUCUGGUAAAUAAUUUGCUGUGAAUAGCAGCUGUAGUAGGAAAUCAUUAUUCCACAAAGGUUAUUACAUCAUCUAUGAACUUACAGAAAGUCAGUCAAUAUUUAAAAAUAGAUUUACUUUUAUGACAGAAGGAUUCUAUUUCUAUGUGUUCCAAUAUAAAUAAUUAUAUAAUAAAGAGAAUAUCUGUCUGUUUAACAUUUUAGCAUGCUUUGGGCUGUUUUUUCUUUAUUUUAUUUUACAGCUAUGGUUGACUUGAUUCUAAUUCAUUUUAUUCUACAUCAUUGAGUCUAAUUUUAGUGUCUGGUUCAAGUAUAAGUUUCUGUCAAAAAUUGCUUGGUUGCUCAUUCUCUUACUCACUUAAACUCUUUUGUAUUGUUUUUGAGGACAAAUGAAGAAUAAUACAUUCUUAUUUUACAGCAUCUAUGUUAGAUGUUCUAUAAUCUAAUCCUGGAAAAUUUUUCUAAAAUUGACAACACCAACUCUCCUCCCUCCAGCUAGCAGCAGUGUAUAUCCCUCUACAUUUUUAUACACUCAUGUUGUUCUCUUCUUAUGUGUGUGUGUGUGUGUACAUGUGUGUGUGUGUAUGGGGGUGUAUCUUGUAUGCACAUGGCUUGUGCAUGUGUGGGGGGCUGUCAGAUUAUAUUCAAUAUCUUUUUUAAGAGCUCUUCACUUUAUUAAGAGCUCAUCUGUAUAUUAAGUAAGGUCUCAUCUGUAUAUUAAGUUAGUGUCAGUAGCCAGCUUGCCCUGGAAGCACUGAUAGUAGGGUGGGCCACAGCACACACUCAUUAUUUACAUGGGUUUUGGAGAUCCGAGCAUAGAUUUUCAUGUUUGUACAGCCAGCACUUUACCCACUGAGCCACCUUCCCAACCUUCUUGUUAUUUGUUAUUAGGCUUAAUAGAACUUAUAUACAUCAUCUUUUACAUUUCUAAAAAGUCCAGAUCUUUUCAAAGUAAUAAUAGAUGCCAUUUUUUGUGUUCUUCUUCCUUGAAGAAUUCUUCUCUAGUGAUGUGUGUGUGUGUUUGUGUGUGUGUGUGUAUGUGUGUGGAUGUAUGUAUGUAUUUCUGAGUGAGUAUACGCACGUGCUUGUGAACUUGUUUGGCAUACAAAGGGGUGUGCAGGGAUCAUGUAAGCUUGUGCUGCUGCAUUUGGCUUUUAUAGUCUGGGUUCCUAGAAUUAGAACUCAGGUUUUUACUCUCACUGUAAAUGACAUUGCCCAUGGCCCAUGGAGCCACCUACAUAGCUCUGGGAUUUUAUGUAAAGCAUUCUACCAUUUUGGUCUGGGUAUAUCUGAAAUUCUACAUUGGGGUUCAUGGGAAAUUUGUUUUAAAUGUCUGCUUUUUGCUGCCUGCUGCUUUGAGUUCUGUGAUAGACAGGAGUAAUGGAAAAUUGAGUUGAAUUGAAGAAAUGAUCAUACUACAUCCAUCAGGGAUUACUUAUUGCAUCCCCAAUAUGUGCCAGGUCCAGGAGACAUACUGGGAAAUCCACAUAAAAUAUUACAUAAAAUUCACUCCAUAAAAUACCUUUUUUUUUCAUUUGUGGUUAUUCUCCUAGCUGUAUUGACAUAUGCUUGAGACAAACUUUACUGUUUGUGGGGGAAGAACCAUGUGGCCUUUGGUUAUCCCAAUCCUUGGGUUCACAUUUAGUUAUCACUUACCAGAUGGCACAUACUCAGCUCUAAAACCAUUAGAAACAGACUUUAGAUAUUUUCUGAAUUUCUUUGGACUUCUUUUCUGUCUUGCCUAUAAAAUUAACAACAUUAAUAGUAAUUGAUGCAUUACUGUAGUAAAGUGAGCUAAUGUCUGUAAGGCAUUACACCAAUGCUUUGGCUCAUAUCAACUGGAGAAGUUCAGCUAUAAUAGUUAUGAGGUUGGCUGACUUGGCACCCUACCCCUGGUACAAAGCAAAUGUUUCCCUAAGUGCUGAGAGGCUAUAAAUGUGACUUUUUUGUUAUGGAAUUAGGAAUAAGAAUCUGAAAGACAAGCCUAUGUUUUAAACUGUAAAGAAAUUAAUUCCUGGACUCCAUGGUAAUGUCCCAACAUGAUCUAAAGCAGGUGAAAAAAUAGAUUAAUGCUCAAUUAGUCACAUACCAUAUGUUCAUACAAACAAGAUCCCUCAGCUGAACACCUGUGAGAGAGUAAGGUAUGCUUGGAUGCUGGGUGUGGGGGGGGGGGCUAGAUGUUAGGGGAUUGGAUGAUGAGGUUGCUCUUGACAACAGGGGUGUUUAUUCAAAGUUCUGUUCUCAUUGCCACAAACUUUGUCUUUGGAGGAGAUAGAUUCAUAAAAGACAGAUCCACUAUUGACUCUCUGUGGUCAUUAGGCCUGUGUGAUUUCAUGUACCAGAACCUCUGAGUUUUGUUGAAGCUUACAAAAAAAUCUAUACAACUCAAACCCCUUUCAGAAUAAAGUAUUUACAUAGGUACAAAUAGUAUAUUAAAAAGGGCUGUGGGUAUAUUCCUAUUCUUCAUGAAGUUUAUAGGUUAAAGAGGAAAUUGAGGCAUUAAGAAAUUACUCACAGAAGUUGAAUGUCCUAGGGUACUAUAUAGAAUGAAGUGUUGUUCUGAAGAACAGCAAUGGCUUCCAAAGAAGUGAUAUGAAAGCGACAUUUAAAAUUGAGUAAGGCAUAUGAAGAAAUGUGACAGGGGACUCAAGAGGAGAAGGAGCAAGUAUUUAUUGCACAACCUUUAUAUAUAGAUACCUUUCUGCUUAGUUGGCCAUUAUAUUUAGAUAUUUAAAUUGUGUGUCAAAUUGGCAUUAGAAUGAUUUUCAAGGUGAGUGCCAUUGUUUAAUGGAUUACCUUAUUAAAAUACACAUUGUCUUGAACUUAAUUCCACUUUAUUUUAUUUUACUUUAUUUUAAAGAAUUAUUUAUUUAUUUUAUGUACUUGAGUACAUUGUAGCUAUCUUCAGACACACCAGAAGAGGGCAUUAGAUCCCAUUACAGAUUGUUGUGAGCCACCAUGUAGUUGCUUGGAAUUGAACUCAGUACCUCUGGAAGAGCUGUCAGCACUCUUAACCGAUGAGCCAUCACUUCAGCCCCUUAAUUCCAUUUUAAAUGGGCACACAUGUUCAUUGUAUACAUUUCAAAGACGUUCAUGUAUGUAUUAAUGUUACACAGAACUAACCCAUCACUUAUUUAUCCUUUCCUCUUCCAUCAUCAUCACCCUUGUUUAGGCCUUGCCCUUUUUAUUGAACUAAUGCAAUACUGUCUUCAUGGAUAUCCUUGCCUCAAGGUGUGUUUUCUUACUCAAAUUUCUUUUAUAUUGUGAUGCAAAAUUGUUUUAUGAGCUAUAACAUCGACUGUCAUUCUUGUGCUUAAAGAUUAUCCUACUGCUCCUAGUUACUAGUAACUACCCAUUCAACCUGUCAGUCAAUGUCUUUUGUCUGGCCUCAUCCUAUAUUCUCCAUUAAUUCUGAGAAUCCAUCACUAUUUUCCUUGGAAGUCCAUGUAGAAUACUGGCUUUUCUGUUUCUUUAUUGUUUCAUUAGCUUCUGUGUAGAAUAUCCUUCAAUUUCAUAUUAGUUUACUUCUCUAGCUAGGAUGUAUUGUCAUAUCUGCUUCCUGGACUUAUUUAAUGCUUUACUCUUUGUGAAUUUGUCCCUUUGCAUCCUGAUCUCAUCAUUGUAUUUUCCUUUUCCCUUAAUUUUGAAGUCCUUUGUAUGUGUGUAUGUAUGUGUGUGUGUGUGUGUGUCUCUGUCUGUCUGUCUGUCUGUCUGUAACUUGGCAAGUUAGGAAGAUUCCUGUCAUUUCUCUUCAAGGAGAAGUUUUCAUAUUUCAUCUAGCCUCUUCUCAAACUGUUUUCAGGCCCCUGGAAAAUUGCCUAGAUAUUAAAAUUUUCAUUACUUAAUUUCCAAAUAAUGUUACUGUGAAAGUCAAAUAGGAUAAUAUAUGGGGAAACACUUGAUAAACAUCAAAGCACUUCAGUAAAGUGAAGUGUUAUUAACAGUAUUAUUGUUAUUAGGAGAGGAAAACAAAGCAAGAUCUUGAAUUCAAUCCUUUCCAAAGACAAAAUUAAAAGUCUAAUCAUUUGCUUAUUACUGUCUUAGAGAAGCAGUCUAUAGAGCCAAGGCAACAGUGCACUUGCUGGGUUAUUUUGAGUAUUUGUAAGUGUUUUAUAAUGCUCAGAUUUAUUAAUUGUAUUUGUAAUUGCACCAUGGGAAAUGAACCUUCAUAAUCCAAGAAGAAAAUAAAAACUUAAAUAGAAAAAUUACAUGGUUUAGCAUCCUCUCUAUAUCAUAGCCAAGGUACUGAUAGAUACCCUUAAGUAUAUCUCUUUCUCUAAAUUAUAGAAAUAUAUAUCUAUAUUCAUAUUUUAUGCAUAGUAUUUUUGAGAGUAGAUUACUUAGCUUAUUGCUUGGCUUCUUAGAGAAAACUAUUUAAUCAAGCAUAUUAAACAGCAACAAAUUUAAGACAAAACUCUAAGCACAACACAGCACAGCACAACACAAUUCCCUCUGUUUUUGAUUGGAGAUACUGAGCUCUUUAUUUGAAGUAUCUAUGUGCUUCCGUCCUUAGUUUCCAAAUCUUAUCAAGACUUCCUGUACCUUCAGAAGGGCUUUGUGCUGUUAUCAUUGGGUUAGGUGAGUGCCAGAACAGUCAGGGCUAUACAGAGAAACCCUGUCUCAGAAAGAAAAAAAAAAAAAAAAAGAACUGAAUGUAGAAAUAAUUGUAAGGCAUGGAAAAAAAUCCUAGGAAGAUAGUUGCAAUAUCUCUAUAUUUCUCACCAGUUCUCCUGUGCAUCCUCAGGAGAAAUCAUCAAACCAAAUCUAAGUAAAAAUGUUCAUGACCUUGUUUAUGAUGAAGAGACUAGUCAACUCUUGAUGAGAAUGAGUUUCUCAACAGUACCGAAGGAUAAGUCAAUUCAUUAUUAAUUUGCUAAGAAGCAAGACCCCAGGAGAUCACUUAUUGAUUCCUCAUCUACUUAAUAAUGUAUCAAUCUGUUUAAAAGCCUCAGAGAGCUAGACAAAUUGUGUCAUGCAUUAAAAAUAUUUAGACACUAUUAGAGUGGAAAUAAAACAUUAAAAUAAAAAUGAUUAGGACUCAUGGAGUAGAUUGGACCAUAGAGUCUAGAUCCAUUAGACUAGAGUUGCGUCUAAUACGAAGAGGUCACACAUGGCUUCUAAGUUUUGCAAUUAAUUCCCUGUUCUCGUCUUAGUUUUCAUAUUAAUUAACUGAGUCUGUGCCAUAUCUGCAGAGUAGAUGUUUGGAGAUAUUUAAUAAACAAAGUACCCCAAACCCUUUUCUAUGAUAGUCUACUAGGAAAAAGAGUCAGCCAACACAUCUAAAAUCAUAUAUUUAAGAGUGAUGGAAAUAAAAUACUAACGAGUCAAGCAGGAUAAUGUCUUCAGCAUAUGAAUUGUAGGAAAGUGUUAGGUGUCAUUAUAGUCAAUGCCCAGAGAAGUGAAAUAACUAGCCAUGGAUUUUGGGCAAAGCCUUCAGCAGAGCACACAUGCAUGCCCAGUAAUUCUGUGGGUAGACUCAGCUUUGCUGAGCUUGAAGCAGUGAUUUUGGUCAGAGAAAGUUCAGACAAACUUGGGAAGACAAUGAAGAAUUUUGGACAGAGCUGCAGUGAUCUUCCUUUCCAUUUUAACAAGGUCAGUUUGACUUCUGUGCUGAAAAUAGGGAGGUAACAGAGAAGAAAGGAGACAAAUUAGACCAUCAACCCAGGCUAAUCCAGGCUGUGCUUGCCCUGGAUAGGAUCAGGCUUGUGCAAGUGUGAGAAGUUGUAGAAUUAUGGAUCUAUUUUUAAGUUGUGUGUGUGUGUGUGUGUGUGUGUGUGUGUGUGUGUGUGUGUGUGUAAAUUGGCAUAUUGCCUUGGAGAGAAUAAGUCUUUCAGAUGGAGCAGCUAGAAGAUUAAAUUUGUCAUUAACUGACAUGGAGGAUGGAGAAGAUUCCCAGAUGCAACAGAACCCCCAAGUGUUUUAUGCUACACCAAAUUUUUGGCUCCUGGUGAGUAGCCAUAUCCAGUGCAAAGGCUAUUUUGGGCAGAAAUAAGAUGGGCUCACCUCUUUCCUUAGUGAGGAGCAGCUUGAAGCCUCUGCCUUCAGGGGCAUGACUGAGGCUUUUCUGACAAUGACAUCUAUGAAGUUUCCCUACUUUCGUGCCCUUCAAAGGACCACUUUUGGAACUCAUGGCAGUAAUGUUUCUGAUUUCACAUUUUAAUCUGUUUCCUAGAAGCCUGGGUUAUGACAACUAAUGUUGGUACCCCAAGUAGAAAUAGCCUUUUUUAUUGGCAUAGAAAAUGUUCUCUGCAUUUCAUGCCACAUCUUUUCUGGAGGACUACAGUGAGUGUGACCCAGACUUGACUAUACUAAGUCCGUGGUAUUACAUGUUUGGUUAAUAUGGUAUGAAUAUUGGCCAUGAAAUUAACACAUAACUGAUUUUCUAAAAAGACACUGAGAAAAUGCAGAUUCAAAGUAUCUCUUUAAACUGAAUUCUGAGGUCUUUUCCCUAGCAACUCACACACAUCAAGCAAAAUUAUAAUACAGUUUAGUUAUUUUUUUUUAAUUUGGGGUGUCACACCAUUCUGCUAGUGUGAUGGAAUAUUUGUAGUUAGUUUUUUCCAUCAGGGCUCCAGUCUAUUAUUGGAUUUGUGCUCUGCAAAAAUUGAAACCAGAAAAAACGCUAAGCAAGUAUCAGCAACUAUUUUGUGCAUAUUGUGGCAGAGAGCCUGGGCUCUGACUGUGUCCUUCCAAGCGGACUGACCUGCGAACUGAUUUAAUCACUGUGUGGAAUGUUUACCCUCUUACUGAGCCUCUGAAGAGAACAGGAAAUGAAGCAUCUGUCCUGAGUGCAGAGUAGAUGGACAAACAUCUCCCUCACGCAUUCUCAGACGGUGCACCAGGGACAUGCCCACAGGACUGCUAAAUGCUGGAAUUAGGGAAAGGGGACUAGGAAUUUACUGUUUAUUAGGAGUUAACAAUUUUGAGACUCUCUCUCUCUCUCUCUCUCUCUCUCUCUCUCUCUCUCUCUCUCUCUCUCUCUCUGUGUGUGUGUGUGUGUGUGUGUGUGUGUGUGUGUGUGUGUGUGUGCGUGCGCGCACUUGCGCAAACGCUGUGGCUUGGAUCCGCGGUAUACAUGCGUGUCUCAUCUCCGCCAUUUUAGGUGCUCCUUGACUGAGCUAGUAAUGGCUGUCAACCUUGGCUGCUUGUGGAAUCUUCUGUGGAGAUUCAGAUACCUAGAUACCUUGUGCCUGGACUCUCAAGCAGAGACUCUGUUCAAUCAGUUUGGGGUAUGCCUUGGGUGCCAGCAUUUGUAAAGUUUCUACAGGUGACUUUGACAUGGAUAUCAGGUUGAGAACCUCUGCUCUUUGGAAUUUUUUUUUUCAUAAAAACAAAUAGAUAACAUUUGACUAGAUAAAAUGAAAAGCAGUGUAAUCAAGUUUCCAGAUAGACUCUGCACCGUCCCCUGAAAUUUCCCAUCUCUAGUCAGCCUUGGUCAUGAUCCUCCAGCUGUGCUGACCUCCACAACAUACAGUACUCUCACAGAUGUCAGAGAUUAUCUGCCUCAGAUUGUUUGGCACAUUGAUGCAGAACCAUCUUUCUAUCAACAGAACUGAACUAUGCCAAAUUAUAUGAAGCCAGAUUCCUGCGUGUGAAGAAGACAUUCUUACUCCAGCAAGUGAAAGUACAAGUCAAGAAACUGACAGAGUAGGCAAGAGGUGGGCAUGCAUCCACACUCACAGCCAGAGCAUCCCUGGAGGAGCUGAAGAGGUCUCUUCUGGAUAGCAGCCUAAAGAAAAAGAACCAUCACCACUGGACACAUGCCCCAAGCUAGAAUCUUUCUUGCUUUCUCUUCUCCAUACAUUUUUGCUUUGUUUCUUACUGGCUGCAUUUUCCAGCUCUUUAAUCUCGUUCAAUGCCUCCCUGCAGUGUUCUCUUCUAGCUCUGCAUAUUCAUUUAACUCAUAGGGCUCCAGAUCAGGCCUUUAAUUACAAAUUUAGAAAUUAUGGUGAGAGUAGAAACAUAAUAACCUCCUAUUGCUUGGUGCUUUACCUGCUCUUAAGGGCACAUCACACUUUUUCUGGGACCUCAGCUUUGUCCCUUUCAGCACUCCAAGCUACAAGCUAUCACAUUACCAUGGAUUUAUCAAAAUUAUUAUUUUUGAUAUUUAUGAUGGCUUCCAUUAACUACUGGGUUACUUGAGGCUAGGUAGCAGUAGAGGAUGUGAAUCAAUUUUCCUAACUAUAGACUAUGUAUGUGAGUGUACGUGUUUGUGUGUUCGCAUGUGAGUGCAUGUAGGUGAGUGUGCUUGUAUGUGUGAAUAUGUGUGGAUGCCAGAGUUGUAUGUCAGGUGUCUUUCUCAAACAUUCUGCACCUUGUUUAUUUAAUGCAGAGUCUAUCAAUGGAUCUUGAUGAUUCUGAUAGACUGGCUGCCUAGUCAGUAACAGAAACCAUCCCAUCUCUACCACUGGAAUUACAGGCAGGCACUUUCAGAUCCAACUCUUCAAUGUUAGGGAUUAAAACCAGGUCCUUACACUUGGCUGUAAGUGUAUUGCCCACAGACAUAUCCCCAGCUCCAGAGACAUAGUCUUUGAUUUUCUUUCACCAUGAUCUCUCUCUAAUUGUGUAAUUCAUGUACAUUUUCAUGUGUUCUAAUCUUAGAAUGUUUUCUGAUGACAUCUUUAUGAACUCUACUUGAGAUGGGAUCUCAUGUUGUAGAUUAUACUGGCCUAGAAUCCACUAUAUAGCUCAAGCUGGCCUUGAAUCCAUGGUGAUCAUUCUGCUUCAGUUUCUGGAGUACUGAGUUAUAGUUACCAACUAGCACAUGUGGAGUCUAAAUAAAGUCUAAAUUGUCAGAAUAUUAGAAAAUAAAAUAAAUGUACAAUCAUCCUUCUUCUUUAGUAGUGGCCUUUGAAGGAUCACUAAUGGUUUACAAAUAUUAAAGCUGUCAUAUGGUCAGUAAUAAUAAUUUGUUGACUUGUAUCCAGAUUUCUUUCUUCCCUUUUUAAUUCCUGGUCUUAGUAUCAGGAGCUCAAUAAAUAUUUUCUGAGGGCAAGGUAUCAAUGAAAGGAUUUCCUUUUUGGUAUUAUGUGAACGUAACUUAGGGGUACAUGAGUUUAGGUUCUGACAUUACUGUGCUUCUUCACAACUGAGGCUGUGGAUUCUUUGUUCUACCUUCUCCCAAUGUCUAGGUGUGACCUUCCUUAGUUCUAAACCAAUGUCUUUGCUGCCUCUAACAAACUGAGCAGGGUAAUCAGAAAUUCUGAAGGGCAAAUUUUCCCAGUACCUGAACUGCAUAAUCUUGCAUAUAAGCAGAACUUUUUAAAGGUAGCACAUAGUGUAGUUUGGCAUUUCACUGUCAAGUUGUCUUUAAGAUUUCCGUUUUUGUUUUCUUCUGCAUGACUACAGACUAUUGAUAGCUAUGCAAGAUGUACUCUCCCUGUUUUGACAGGAGUAAAUGUUCUGAAAGGAAAACAAAGAGAACAAAGUAUAGCUACCCUGAGUAUAUCUUCUUAGCCUUUACCUUUGUAGAUAUUGAAAUAUUAUUGGUGCUGGCCACAAAAAUAAUAUUUCCUUUAAUAAUACGUAGAAGGCACAGGAGACCCAUAUGAUGCUUUUGUCUUGUUCCUGGCAUCUUUAACAGACUUAUGAGUUAAGAUGAUUUUUGAAAAUAGUAUGGCCCAUAGCACUGGAUCUUAUGGUUCUGUCUUAGUAUUGAAAUAGGAAUGACAGUAUAUUUGUCUAUUUUCUCUGAUAGUGUUUUAUGAACCCCAACUUUCCGGCCUUCAUGACUUUUGUGGGCUGUUUUCUUGAGCAUACAAUGGCCUUACCAUACUGCAUAUAGUGGAAAGAAUAUUUGUUUAUUAAAUGACAGACAAUGUCUUCUAUCUUGGGAGCUCUCUCUUAGACUUAGGCAUGGAGUUUUCACUUUCAGAGACCCAUGAGAAUAGCACUAAGUCUGAAUAGGAGAUGUGUUUGAGCAGACAAAAACAGACAUUCCCCUUCCCACCUUUGAUGGUUAUUCUCCAUUGUUAAUUUGACAGGAUGCAGAAAUACCCACCAAGGAGUCAUACUUUUUGGCAUGUUUUUAAGGGCAUUCACAGAAAAAUUUAAUUGAUGAGAGAAGACCCAUGCUGAAUGAAGGCAAUAUCAUGGGCUGGAGAUCUGGAAUGAAUAAAAAGCAGAAAGUGGCUGAACCCCAGCAGCCAUACUUCCUGAAUGAGGAUCUAACUGGACCAGUUACCUCAUGCUCCUGCCUGCACCUUUCCCUGAUAUGAUGAGCUAUACCUUAAGACUAGAAGAGCAAAUCAACCCUUCCUUCCCAAUAUUGAUUACUUGUACUAGUUAUUGUCUCACAGCAAUCAGAGAAGUAACUCAUAUUGAAACUUAGCAGAAACUCUCAGUGAUGACAGAGGCCCCAUCUGACAGCUUAUCUAUGGUGCCAUGAGACAUUUCAGACAGGCGAUCUUAACUACAACUGACCUCUCACACAGCCAAAUGUAAGCUAAAAGGGAUUUAUUGUUUCAAGUGUAUGAGUUUGUGAAGUAGUAAUGAAUAAUUAAUACAAUAUUAAAACCUUGUACCUUAUAACAAAAUACAAAUGUGCUUCCUUUUAGCAGUUACCAUCUUUGUUCUGCAUCCCUGAAGAUAGCUGUAUCUUUUAUUUUCCUAUAAAUUUAUGGAGAUCAAAGAGUCCCUGCUAUUGACUUUUGAGUUCCUCUCAGUCCCAGAAAUGUGUCAUGCUCAGUGCAGAUACUGACUAAAUAUCUGACUAGUAAAUAAAUAUGCAAGCACAUCUUACCUCAAGGACCAAAGAACAACUAGCUAGCCCAAUGAAGACAAGGGUUCAAUUUGAUCUUCUAAUUGUUUCCCUAGAUUCUUCAUGUACUUAAUAUAGUAAUGAAUUAUUUAUAUACAUAGUCUCUGAAUAAGGUUUCUUUCUUAUUGAAGAAGACCCAAUUUAAGUUUGAAUAAAUGACAUGGGUUCAUUGUUUCUCUACAAUGUAGAAGAAUUACCACAUGUGAUCAUAAAUCAAAGUAUAAUCUCUAUUCUACUCUUAAAAAGACAUUGUUUCUAUAAGGGAGUCAUUAUGUGAAAGCCAAUAAGGGAAAAAUAAGGACUGCCUUGAUUAGAUAAGAACUGGGCUCACACACAGCAAAGCAAUAUAUUUACCUAAUUUUAAUUGUAUACUCUUCUCCAGCCUUUUCAUUGUCUUCUAGUAGAAAAUAUCACUAGUACAGGGAAGUAAGGAAGGGCAUGAUUAGGUAAGAGCUGGGAGUCUGUGAACCAAUGUUGAUCAUGAAGUAGAGACAACACAGAGAUAUCAUAUCCAUGGUUUUGGUUGGGGGACAGGUAAUCAAUCUUUAUGUCCUUUCUCACUUUAUUCGUUUUUUCUCUCUUUAUUUCUUUCUUUCUUUUUUUUUGUAAACUAUUUCAUUAUAUUUGUUGCCAUAACAGGAUAUUUAAGAGAUGUAAUUUGCUGCCAUCUCAAAAGUCAGCACUAACAAAGAGAAUUAAGUAAAUCUAACUAAGUAAACUAUGUUAUAGGAAAGAAAUUGUGAUAUAUUUCUUUGUCACAUGAUCAGCAUAGUAGAUGAUGUGUCUUCAUUUCCUACAAAAAAGAGGAAGCAGUUAAAAUUGUGUGUGUGUGGUUCUGGAUUAAAUAUUAUUAAUCAAAAAGGGGGCUGUCAGUAGGAUGAUAUAAGAUAUAGAUGUAGUUUAUCUCCUAAUCCCACCCUUCCUCAAAGAUUUCUGUCAGUGACAUUGUUAUCAGACUCAAACAUGGGGAUGAUUCUGCCAGUGACUUUAAUUACUUUCCCAUCAAAGGCCCAUUGAGCAGUUUCACAAAUGUCUUGUUUGCUCCCUGGGACACUUUAAAGUACAAAUGAUUCUAUUGCCUCAGUUGCUCAUCAGUAAUGGCAGGAAAUCAUUCAAUUUGUCCCCCUGGCCAGACUGUUCUGGAUUUGCACUUGUGCUGUGGGAAGAAAGAGGAUGGGUCUUCCAGAAUCAGUCAUCUCUGAUCCACAUCAGAUCCACUGGUGAGAAGGUGUUUACAUUCUCUGUGUUUCAGAUAUCUUUGUUUGUAAGUGGAUUUGCAUUCUGGUGGGCUUUCGAGUGUUUCAGUUUCAUAUCUGUUUUUUUGAUCCAUUUGCUUCCAGGAGAGGCCAGUGUACCUUGAGGAGAAAGAUCCUGGAGCAUAUGUGAGUAAGCAAAUGAUGUUCUGGGAGCCAGGCCCAUGGCUGCUGGUCUGGAUGGCUUAGAUAUGCCUUUGUAACUUUCAGGAUUUUGCUGCUGUUGCUGUUUUUUUCUCUGCUUCUCUCUCUUCCUUUCCCUCCUCCUUCUUUGCUGCUCCAGCUGCUGCUUUCAGAGGCUGUGCUUUUUCCUUUCUUACUAGCAAUUAGGCACUAAAAUCACAGCCUAAACAAGCUUUCUAAUCAUCUAGUUGUCCCUUCGCAACCUGACUUAAUAGAGAGAUGCCUUCCAUUUUCUUGGUUGAUCAAUGAAGCCAAGGCCUCAGUGAGAGUUGGCUGGAGCCUUAGUCUAAAAAUCACAUAUCUACUCUUGUGUCUUUCAUUCUUCCCUCAUUAACUAGUGAAGGAAUCAAUAUACAGCUCCACGGACAUAGGCUUUGGUGUCCCUUUCCUGCCAAUAGUUGAAGAUGUGAGGUUUCUCCAAUUGAUGAGUCUCGUGGAAGUUCCUACUGCCUUGAAUAUGCUAAAAUGAGAUACAGUUAUUCUGGGUUUAUUUCUGUUUCUGACUUGGGGAUACUAAGUUUGAGUUUGCUCGGGGGAGUGACUUUAAAGAAGUGGCUUUUCAGGGAAGGACAUACCCGUCCAGUAGGAAACAAGGAGUCUUGCCACUCAUCUUCAUAUACAACAGCAGCUUGGUGUUGUUGAGAGUUCUAGCCCUGAAGGACCAUAGUGGCUCCUAUAACUGACUGUUAUGGUACCUAGGCCAUUUCAAUAGGUGGUGAUAGGUGAAGUAGUCUAUGAACUCUUGUUUCACUCAGACUGAGGGCAGCUGCUGAGUGUCAGGAAAGAGAGAGAAUGUUUCCUACUUCAUGAGUUGGUACAAUUUCUUUUAAGCUAAGGGGCAGAAGCUUCAGUUUUGGGCUCUGAUAUUUUGUUUUUUGGGUAUCUGUCAGUAAAUAUUCAAAAGAAAAAGAAAUUUCCAAACUUUCUCCUGAUUAUGUCCUGGAGUCCUGAAUUAAUUUUUGUGGUUGUUGUUGAUUGUUGUUGUUGUUGUGUUUUGGUAAGAAUUCACUUCUGACAGACUACUGUUUGUUCUAAGUAGAACAUUUAAUAAUACAAACUCUAGAAAGUCAAAACAUAUUUAUUGAGCACAUGUUAUAUGCCAGGCUCUGUGCUAAGCACUUUACAUGCUUUGUUCUCUUCUGUCCUUAAAACUGUUUGAUGGGGGAGUAUUAGUUAUAAUCUUCCUACUGAGAGUGGGUAAUCAGUUUUUAUAUGUUUCCUUCUUCAGACUUUAGAGUGGUAAUAUUACCAGCAUGUACCAUGAUAAUUGGAGACAAGUCCAGUGACCGAAGAAUCAACCAGCCACUGAGAACAGCAAUGACACAAUGCUCUAUUAUCUCCCCUUCUCAUCAGACCAUUGAACAAAAUUGAUUCCAAACAGAUGAAGAUGUGUUUUCUUCUCACAAUGAAUAGCCAAUUAGAGAGAGGAAAGGCACCAGAGCUGCUGCAGCAGGAGCAUUUAGGUGGAGUUUCUGCUGCAGCUGCAUGCCCUCUGCUUCUCAGCAGUUAACAUUCUUUUACACACUGUCUUUUCUGGGUACUGGAGUUAAAUGAAAACACUCAUGUUCUCAGACAGAUUUGUGUUUAAAACAGAUAUCCCACGGCCCUAUAUUGUAGCUAUUUCAAAACUGUAACUGUUAUUAAUUGACGUGUACCAAUGGCACUUAUUUGCAGGUAUAGUUUUGCUGCUAUUAUGAUCAUGCUUUCAUUGUUGGAUAAUAAAAUCUGGGCAUUAAGAAUCUCAAUUGGCAUCUGGGCAUUUAGCAUCAUCUCUAUAGCUUGGUACAUUUAUCACUUCUUUGCAAUGAAAACAUUCUAUUUCUUCAUUUCUAUCUAUUUUGAAAUAUACAAUACAAUAUUAGUAGCCCCAGUCAUACUACCAUUUAUGCUAUAUGUGCCAUCUAGCACAGCAGAAGUGUUUCUAUUAAAACUGAGACAGGCCUGAAGAGUUCACAUCACUCUUCCAACUCAUGGAUGAGCAAAUCACAGGUCAAAGUUCUGAUACCAGCUGUUAAAGGUUAGGUGACUUCUAAGCGCUCUUCUUGUUUCUGUUUCAUGUUUGUUUGACCUCUUCUGACAAGUAACAGUUACAUUUGGUUUUGGUGAUUCAUUCUACCAUCUCAGAUACUAACAUGGAAGCCACUGUAAAUGUCAGUACACUCUGGCUCUUAUUAUUACUAUUAGAAGGGCACUGAUAAAAUGACAUAUCCCAGAACCUAGAGAUAGACAUUACUAGGCAAUACUUGUAAAAAUUCACAACUGCCUGCCACUGAUCUAUUGCCAUUCACUGCUUAGCUAGGUGAAGUUUGGUUCAGGUAGGGGAGAUUUAAAGAAUCCCAGAGAUAAAGUAGAGCCUUAGUCUAUGACUUCCUGACACAAAGGAUACUCAGAGUGUCCACCUCAUUCCUCUGGGUCAGUCUUCUUUCACUGGUGCAGGUAUGGCACAAGUAUAUGCCUGCUUUAUUUCUGUAACUCAGUUUCUAUGUGGCCCUGUGUCUUAUAUGUUAUCAUCUACUGGUCAACAGAAAUUACUUUCUCUCUCAUUCCCUAUGAAACUCUCUUGGUGCUAUGUAUCUAUCUUUGUACUAUGGUUAGUGCCUGGAACCUUGCCACACUGCUUAUAAACUUGGAUUGUGUUUUCCAUUCAUCAUUUGCCCAUCUGCCAUGAGACCUGAGAGCUCUUUUUGGACAGAUAGCCUAGAUACGCAGAUGUCUUUCUGCCUGAUGCUCUGGAAACUUCUACCCUUUGAUGCUGUGUUUGUUUUUUAAGAACCAGCACUUUCCAAGAGAGGGGACUAUUUCUGGGUCCCAAACACGUGCUUCUUGUGCCCUGGACCAUGUCCUGAGCAAAGGCACAUAGGAGGGACAAGACGCCUAACAAGCCAGAAUUCUGUCAUAGUGUCAGGUUUUCGUGUGAGUUUUCUGUGUGGCCUGGAUCUGAUAUUUGUCAAUCAUGUGCAAGUGUGGAAAAAAAGUUGGGGGGGUAUAUUUCCAUUGGGAAAAAUUGAUUAUAUUUCAUAGAUAUGAUAUUCACAGAAGCAAGAUGCUGUGCAGUGCCUCCUGCCCUUUGGGUAGUUGGUGAACUUGUUGUCACCUGUGUUCUAUCUAUAAUACCUUAAUCCCAACAAACUUCUGAAGGUGGGAAUUGAAAAGCAGUUCUAAGAAGGGGGAAUUGAGUCUCAGUGAAGCUAAUUCCUGUGUGGCUCAGGAAGUAAGCUCAGGUGAUGCUGGACCCGAAGAAGAGUGCAUUUGUCACACAGGGCCACUUUCCAUGGCCUAUGCUGUUAUCUCUUAGGUGAUCGGGGUCAUGGUUAGGAGUCCAGAUAUGUCAAGCUGAUUGUGACAGCCACAGAUAUUGGAAGCUGCAGGUGACUUUGGAGCUCUUCAAGUUAGUUCCUGCCAGGUAGGAUAUUGAACAUCACCUUGCUGAUCACCAAACCUCUAUAAUCCUAGAGUUUCUACCCUUAUCUACAAUGGUCACAAUUUAGGGGCUAAUAAUCAGAAAAUCUGUGUGAAACCCAGGAUUCUCCCCUUUUCUGGAGACUCCUCUGGCUUAGAUCAGAUUGUGGAUAAGUCAAAAAGUCCAGAGUCUGUGUGCUUUCUGCUGUGGUCUGGAUGUGGCAGGUACCAUCACCCAGUGCCUCUCAGUAUCUCUUGAGGUUGAAGACUGUCAGCUAGAGUUCUUCAGCUUUCUCCGGGCUUCACUUCAUCAGAGCUCCCAGGUUGUGGUAAUAAGGUUGACUAGAAAGGCUACAGAGGGUAAUGUUUUAUCACAGUGGGCCUGGACUAAGGUAGGUGACUUACAUUAUCCUUUCUGUCAUUCACUAUGGCUUCUCCAGUUUCAUUUUCAGCCAUGUAGGUUGCAAGCGUCCCUUCUCCUACACCCUUUUAACUCAUUUGGGACUCUACCACUUGAUGUAGACAGGAUCCUCCUAGCUCUUCUGCAACUUUUCUCAGACAUUUUCCUAGACUGCAUCUAUUCCACAUCUAUCAGUGAACCCUCACCCACCAUACUUUCCUGCUCAGUGAGGUUCUGUAUAGUUAGAGUAGCCAUUUGGAAUGGAAAUUUUGGAGCUUCACAGUGGAUUUUAUACUUUCAUUUUCAAAUAUAUUUUUAUGUACUCAUUGACUACUACAAACGAAAAAUCCAUGACAGAAUUAGAACAAGAAAACCACUUAGCUUUACAGCCUGUUUUAAUAACUCAUGUUCAUUAUCUACUUUGCUACAUUGAACCCUUCACCAUCCUUCAUUAUUCAACCUUUCUUGUUUUCUUUUCUACAUGUUAUACUAUAACACAUGUUAGUUAGCUUCCUCUCAGUUUGUCCAUCUAGGCUGCUAGGAUCAAUUCCUUGCUACACACAUCCAAUCUGACCACUUUAAUACUGAUACCUUGAUUUCAAACACCUAGGAAAGGGUUUUUCUUCUAUCCACUGAAUGCAAAGACAAGUAGGAUAAUGCUGAAAGCCCAAGCAAACUACUCCUCAUGCUCUGGAAGCAUAGACACACUUUAAAAGAAAUGUCUAAUGUCUGGUCUAUUAAGGCAUCAAAUUCUUCCACAAAUUGUACCAGACAUUUUUUCAUUGUGGAGAAACGGGGAUUUUGCAAAGAUGUCAAACCACAUAAGGCAGCAGGCAUAACACAGCAUCAAAGACAUAAUUUGUGCUUGUCAUUCUGGGAGGCAGGAGUUACUAGGAAUAUAUCCAGAGAGUGAAGCAAAAUACAAACACCAUAAGUACCUCUGCCAUGAUGGACAGGUAGAUGCUUUCGCAGGAGUUGCCGUAGUAACUGCUACAUGUGCAUAUCUAUUUUUUUCUUUCUCAUGCAUAAAACAAGACAGAUAAAAAUCAAGAGAGCUCUGGUCAAAGGAUUACACUGAAAAAUUACAGUGUGCUUGGACUGGACACUACCGCAUGUAAACUACUGACCUCAUUAUGUAUUGACCAUGGAAAUUAAAGUAGCAAAAGCAGGCAAGGAAGAUAAGGAGAACAUAGAGGUAUUUCUGUGAUUAACAUGGAAAUGAUAUGUGCUUAUUUGUCUUUUCUUCUUGGAAGAGAUUCCUGAUGUAAUGGCUCAACUGCAAGGCACAGUACAGUUUAACAUACAAGUGCACUCAACAAGAAUUCAUGCUAAUCCUUACUGUAGGAUAAAACUCCAGUAUAAUUUUAGCAAUCUUAGUCAAGGGAUGAGGAAUUGUAAUAUGAGAAUUCUUUUAUUUUAAAGGACUGGUAGCAGGACAUGGUGAUGAACAUCUGCAAUCUGAAUUUUUAUAUUGUAGAAACAGUAGGAACAUGAACUUGUGUUUAGUUCAAGCUACACAGCAAGGUUCAGACUAUAGGGAAAGACCUUGUCUCACAAAAAUAUUAUAACUGUUGUAUGUGAUUAUCUGGCCAUGAAUCUGUCUAUGUUUGCAUUCAUCCAUUCAUCUGCCCACACAAUUCUAUCUGUUUUGCACUCAUUAUCAAUUUUAAUAUCAAUGGGUACCAAGAGAAACAGUAUAUCAUUAUUUUGAAACAGUAUGAGAAUACUCUAAAGCAGAGUUUAGUCUAAUUAAAACAAUCGAUUCACAAAUACAUGUAUACUCUUUUAGAAGCUACUUUUGGACCUACCCUCUGCCCUUCCUUUUUUUCCAAGACAUCAGCAGGCUGGUUGAGAGCGUUAAUGGUCCCAACCAAUGAGGAACUAGCUGUGAGGAGAGCAGUCAAGUGUGUCCUGAAGUUCAGAUGGCUUUCUGCAACCAGAUACUUGCCAGACAUGAGCAGUAAACACAGUUCCAUCAGUCCAGUUCCACACAAAGACUGAGAGCAUGAUUCAGCCCUCUGUCUGCUUCAUUUGCCUUACAGUUCACUUGGUUGAUCAUUACCUUGAAUGUCAUUUUUAAUUCUGCUGAGUUCACAGAAUUACAAAGACAGUGCCUCUGAUUUAAUCUUUUUUCUUUUUUCCAUUUUAAUGUGUGCAUGCAAAUGUUAUACAUGUGCAUGUGCAUGGGAUGGUUCAAAGUUGAUGCCAGGAAUCAAUCUCAACCACUUUUCAUCUUACUCACUGGAAACAGUUCCCAGUCAAAACUCCUACUGUUGCUAAUCUGCCUGCUCUGGGAUCCUUGCUGUCUUCCAAACCUGCUGUCCAGAGGCAUCUGAAUGCUGCACAUUUCCUCACCCUACACUUACUGUCGUCUUUCCAGCCUAUCUUCCAUGGUGACGAUCCAUGUGCUUUGGAGGGGGCAACAUACAUAGCUCAUUUAGAGCCCAACACCUUAUUAUCACUUAUUUUUGUCAUGCUAUAUAUUUGUGCAUUAACCACUGCCUCAGGGUUAACCCUUCCCUGAUGAUGUUUGAACACAGCACUAAUCUAUGGAUAAUGACAUGAACAUUUAGAAGCAACUGGGGAUUAUGACCAUUUAGGAAACUAUUAGUGUUUUCUAGGAUAGCAUCUAUCACUAAGCUUGCAGAACCAGGGAUGAAUUCUUUCCCGUGGAGUGACCUCAAAUCAGAUCAGCAAGAAAUUGGUUACUUUCAGAGUAACUGCUGCAUGUUAAUCUAUGUCAUCCCUAGCUGGCCAUCACUCACAGGAUUCAUAAUUGGGUAAAACAUUUCUCCUCCCAGCAGCUUCCAUUGCCUAUCCUAGCACCAUAAAGUCUAGCUAAUUGAGAAGAUGCAUCCAUCUUAGCCCCAGCUGGACUUUUUUAUCUUGUGACCGAAGUAAAGAUAGGGUCUUAUCAUCAAGUUUUUAUGGGCCUCUAAGAGCCCAUAUUAUUUGGAGGGCCUCUGCCUACCACCCACCCUCUGGACAACAACUCAUAAGGAAAUAUUCCCCUUCUAGCACUGAGAGUUUUAGUGACUAACCUAUGACUUUUAAGAGGAGAAUUUCCUCCAUUUAGGUAACAAAUAUACAAACUGGUUUUUAGAAUACAUUUUUGAUAAGCUUAUAAAAUAAGAGGUUUCCAUGUGGGCUUACAUAUGCACAGUUCAGUUUACUGUUCCUUCCCCCCUUGUCUUUUCUCUAUCCUAGACUCAACUGUUUGCUGAGAUAUCUUUAAGCCCAGCACUGCUCCUCUAAUUUCAUGUCAGAUGUUUUCUGCUCCCCACAAACCUGCCUCUAAGGGGCUCUUUCCAUCGUUCUGGGCUUUUACCAGCACUAAAUAGUAAUCACACUAUUCAAAAAGGUUACACCUAGGAUCGGCUAAUAAGAGAGAACAUGCAGUCCUUGCAUUUCUGAGCCUGGGUGAUCUUACUUUAUAUUCCAGAUUCAUACAUUUUCCUGUAAAAAUUCUUUAUUCUUUACUGCUAAAUAAAAUUCUAUUGUGUAUGCUUUCUUUAUCCAUUCAUCAGUUGAUGAAUGUCAAGGCUGAUACCAUUUCUUCACUGUUGUGAAUAGAACUGCAAUGAACACUGAAGUGGCAAUAUGUCUUUUGUAUGGUAUGGAGUCCUUGUGAUGCAUAUGCCAAGGAUGUUAUAAUUGAAUCAUAUGGAAGUUCUUUUUUUAUUUUUUAAGGAACUUACAGACUGCUUUCUAUAAUGGAUUCAUGAUUUUAUAGUUCCCCUGUUUACCAUUAAGAUGUAUUUUUAUUUGUUUACUGGAUAAUUGCCAUUCAACAUGAAGUGAGAUGAAAUCUCAAGUCAGUUUUAAUUUGAAUUACUCUGAUUGCUAAGAAUAUUAAGUGUCUUGUACAAGUAAUACCAGCUGUCCUAGGCUGUAAGCUUGACAUCACCUGAAAAUACAUGAAAAGGACAUCUGAAUUACCUACUUGUUUUUAUCAGGUUGGUCUGUAAGCAUAUCUGUGAAGGAUUGCAUUAAUUGAUAUAGGAGAGUAUAGCCUGCUGUGGGUGGCACCAUUUUUAUUCAAUUCUAGAAAUUUAAUUUUCCUCUUAAAUUUUUAUUGAACUAUUUAUUAUUAUAUUGUAUGUUUUUUAAUUGCCAGGAGUUCAUUGUUUUCCAUAUUGUCUUUUGCUAUGAUUUUGUCAUCUUAUUCCAUUGAGAUCAGAUAGAAUACAAGGAAUUAUUCCAGUUUCUCUGCUUUGCUUGACUGUAGCAUUGUGUACCAUUGUGUGUUAUCUUUUAGAGAAUGUUUAAUGGGAUGCAAAGAAGAAUAGGCGUGGUGGACUAGUCAGUGUAUGUCUGUUAGGUCCAUUUGAUCUAUGGUGCUAUUUAAUUCCUAUGUUUCUCUUUUUCUAUUUUCCCAAUUGAUUCUAUUGUCAGAAUAGAACACUGACGUCACUAUUGACCUAGUCAAUAUUGACUAUUGACAAUUGACCUAUAAUUUCAUAUUUAAUAGUGCUUAUUUUAUGAAAUGAUGUGAAUCGGUAUUUGGUACACAUAUUUAGAAUUGAAAAAGUUAUCUUGAUGAAUUGGUCUUUUGAUAGGUAUGAAGUUACUUUCCUUGUCUAUUCUGAUUAUAUUUCUUUGAAGUCCAUUUUAUUACGUAUAGAAUGGUGACACCUGUUUGUUUGUAGUCUCAUUUUUAAAAUCUUUUUCAAUCCUUCCACUCUAAGGUAGUUUCUGUGUCUGCGGGUGAGGCAUGUUUCUUGGAGGCAUCAAAAGGAAGGUUCCUAUUUUUUAAUCCAAUCUACUACUGUAUUUUUAACAGGACAAUUAAUAUUCAGAGUUAUUAUUCAAAGGUCUUUAUUGAUUCCUGUCAUUUUGCAGUUUUGUGUGUUUUUAUAGUUCUGUUUUGUUUAAUAGCUGUUGUAGCCUUGUUUAUGUUUUCAUUGUAAAAUCUCAGAAAUGUUUAUCUUUCUCUUAAGUUUAAAGUAUCUGCUCCAGCAUCCACUGUGGAGCUGGCUCGUUAGUCAUAAAUUCAUUCAGUGUGGUUUUGCUAUGGAAAGCUUUUAUUUCUCUUUCAAUUAUGAUACUACUUAUGGGAAUAUUGGGCUAGGUUGGUAAUUGGGUCUUUCAGAAUUUGAAAUACAUCUCUCUGAGAGCUUCUGGAUUUUAAGGAUUCCAUUGAUAUAUAAACUAUUAUUCUGAUGGGUUGACCUUUAAAUAUGGUUGGGACCUCUCUCGUGCACCUUUUAGUACACUUUUUUCUUCCUAUAUAUUUUGGUGUUUUUACUAUGAUAUGCCAUGAGGUGUCCUUUUUACUAAUUCUGUCUUUUUGGUGUUCCGUGAGCCUCUUGUACCUAUACAGACACUUCUCUUAACUUGGAUGGAUUUUCUCCUGUGAUUCUAUUGAAAAUAUUUUCUAUUCUAUAGACAUGGAAUUUUUCCCAUUGUUGUGCCUAUCAUUUGUAAGUGUUGCCUUUUCAGGAUGCCCUGAUGAUCUUAAGGGUUUCAUUCAUAAGCUUUUUAAACUUUAUCAUUGACCUUCACUCAGUGAUCCAACUCUUCCCCAAUGUCGUGAAUUCUAUCUUCUGCAUGAUUCCUCUUCCAAGUGAGGUUUUCCACUGCACUUGUUACUUAACUGUCUGUGAUUUUCAUUUCUACCACCAUUUCAGUUGUGUUUUUCUUCAGUGUUAUUGGAUUUCAUUUUCAUUCCCUUUAUUGGAUUUCAUUUUCAUAAAUCUGGCUUCCAUAUUUCAUCCAAUUGCUUGUUUUGGUUUUGUGUGGGUGUGGUUUUUUUAAAUAUAUUCUUGUUUUCUUGGGUUUUGUGAAGACAGUUCUCUUGAAUUGUGUUUCGGGAAUUUUAUCAAGAUCCUUUUCAUUGGGGGGGCAUUUUUAUGGGGUAGAAAAAUUUUUGAGGAGGUAAGUUGUCUUGGUUCUUCUUGUCUCUGGUGGUUUUUGUAUUAAGACCAUCUAGGGUGAGAUCAUUUUAAGAUUUUUGUUGUCAUUUUUAUUCUGGUAACCUUUGUACAUUUUGUUGAGGCCUUUGCAGUGUUCAGAAAAAAUCCAAGUUAUAGAAAGGAUAAUGCAUCAGUUAUCUCUUUAAAUUGUUCUUCCAGUCACCAGGCUCUGACACCAGACCUUCAAUGACAGUUGAGUAUUGUCAACAACUGUAGUCACUUUCCAUCAGUAAAUACACUGUGAAAAUAGUGUCAGUUGAACACUAAGCUCUCAUUCCUUAAGUAACAAUUGUUUUGGGGGAAUAAGAGAUGCUAGUAGUACUGUAUCUAUAUGUAUAAUAGAUAUUGUGGAUAUAAGUGGAGAAAGAGCAAGAAAAAAAUCACAGUGAGAUUCAGUUGCCAGAAAGGAACUAGAGGAGGGGUUAUAGCAAGUAAAAGAGGGACCACCACACAGAAGGAGUAAUCAUAGAAUUAAAAAAAAAAAUAAGGUGGUAGUGGGUUUGGCUAAAUGGUACUGAAAAGAGUAGGUAAAGAUGUACCCCUAAAUAACAAAACAGGCUUUUUUCUCAGGGGUGUGAGUCACAGAGGGACUGUAAACUAGGGCACUGCACAUUCUUUAUGAAAGGCAAAGGAAAGAUGACAGGAAAAAGAGAAAAAGGAUAAAAAGAGAUGGGACAGGUGAAGGACUGAGGUGGUCUGCUACCCUGACCUUGUCUAUUCCAUAAAUAAAGAACAGUUAAAGAGGGAAACAAGAGCUGGGUGGAGAAUACAUGUGAAGUUUUCCUAACCUUAACACUUACCUCCUAGGGAGACCUGCAAAGGGAAUCAACGUCUCAUGCACAGUACAAACCUCAAAUGCUAAUCAGGAUCUGGGGCUGUAGUUGAGCAAUCCCUGCCUCCAGUAAUGACCUAGAGCUGGGGAAGGAGCAUGGACCUGCUGCCAUUCUCAAAACUUUGCUUAAUGCUUUGCUCAUUACACAAGGAGUUCCAAGCUACACGUUGAAAAAUGGCAAAAAAAAAAAAAAAAAAAAAAAA